UUCUGUCCGGUUCCUCUUCCUCUAGCUCUUCUGAGUGUAGGGCAGAGUUGAGUGUAGGGCAGAGUUCUGCAUGGACGGGUACCUGCAACGGCCAGGGUCAACAAUGAUGCAGAGUUCUGCAUGGACGAGUACCUGCAACGGCCAGGGUCAACAAUGAUGCAGAUCAGAUGUUCAACUACAGCCCCAUCUAGCCAAAGUCAGAUGUCGGUUGCAAGAAGGGGCUCUGUAGGUUGCAAGAGCUUCUGGUGAUGCAACAACAAGAAUCGACCUGGAGGUCUAGCCGUCUGGAAGUUAACGACUGAUAUUGUCCUGCUUGGGUUCAUUCUGGGCUUGAUUUUGCUGUAUAUAUGUGAUUUAAGCCGUGGAAGUAUUGUAAUAGACUUAAUUGUUGCUGUUGUGAAAACAUGUUCAUGCAUUCUUCGGUUCUGAUUAUUUGUUAUUCAA